rnacentral:rRNA from 1 species
GCUCAGGACGAACGCUGGCGGCGUGCCUAAUACAUGCAAGUCGAGCGGACAGAUGGGAGCUUGCUCCCUGAUGUUAGCGGCGGACGGGUGAGUAACACGUGGGUAACCUGCCUGUAAGACUGGGAUAACUCCGGGAAACCGGGGCUAAUACCGGAUGCUUGAUUGAACCGCAUGGUUCAAUUAUAAAAGGUGGCUUUUAGCUACCACUUACAGAUGGACCCGCGGCGCAUUAGCUAGUUGGUGAGGUAACGGCUCACCAAGGCAACGAUGCGUAGCCGACCUGAGAGGGUGAUCGGCCACACUGGGACUGAGACACGGCCCAGACUCCUACGGGAGGCAGCAGUAGGGAAUCUUCCGCAAUGGACGAAAGUCUGACGGAGCAACGCCGCGUGAGUGAUGAAGGUUUUCGGAUCGUAAAACUCUGUUGUUAGGGAAGAACAAGUACCGUUCGAAUAGGGCGGUACCUUGACGGUACCUAACCAGAAAGCCACGGCUAACUACGUGCCAGCAGCCGCGGUAAUACGUAGGUGGCAAGCGUUGUCCGGAAUUAUUGGGCGUAAAGCGCGCGCAGGCGGUUUCUUAAGUCUGAUGUGAAAGCCCCCGGCUCAACCGGGGAGGGUCAUUGGAAACUGGGGAACUUGAGUGCAGAAGAGGAGAGUGGAAUUCCACGUGUAGCGGUGAAAUGCGUAGAGAUGUGGAGGAACACCAGUGGCGAAGGCGACUCUCUGGUCUGUAACUGACGCUGAGGCGCGAAAGCGUGGGGAGCGAACAGGAUUAGAUACCCUGGUAGUCCACGCCGUAAACGAUGAGUGCUAAGUGUUAGAGGGUUUCCGCCCUUUAGUGCUGCAGCAAACGCAUUAAGC